AACUGAAGGUCAGGCUCUUUCCGGCCACCUUCUCCCAACAUUCCCCCCGGACCGAUCUCGUCCAGAGAGUCCUCUCCUCUUUAAACCUAGAGGCUGCUGACGCAGCCAAGCUUAGUAAAAUAACCCAGCUAAUAGACAACCUGAACCAACCGCAGAUUCGACAAAGUUUCAAGACCCCGGCUAAGGCGGGAAAUGAGCUUGUCAAAAUCAUGAAGGCUUGGGAUGACUGCCGUGACUAACCGGCAAUCCCGCUUCCAAACAAAGGCGAGCAGUCCUGAUCGCAAUAGCUAAAGGCCUACUU
rnacentral:lncRNA from 1 species